CCAGGUUAAUGGAUUUAUAAACUGGCAUUCGCUUGUAUUUGCGAUGCGCUCUGACCAAUGUGUAGAAGCUAGCCUGGUUAAGGGAUUUAUAAAUGUUACUUCCAAUGAUAGUAGCCUGUGCGCAUGUGAUGGCAUGAUAUUAAAAGAAGUAACGAGAGCCAUGACGUAUCGACCGUACUGGAAGUUAAAGGUAUAUUAGAUUUGUCCGAAUGUUGUAUUCAAGGCAGCUAUUUCGCUCUAGUCGUAAACUGAUUAACGAUAACCCAACUUCUUUUAAGUAGUUACAAAGAUGCAAAUUUAAACUCUAUAUACACUUGCCACUGAUAUUAAGGAGCGGAAAACAUCACUAAAAAAACUUCCAACACUUAUAAUAACAAUAUAAUAACAAUAUAAUAAGACUGCAAUGUCAAGUGACUGUCAGUGGAAAUGACAAGUAGAUUAUAUCAUCAAUGAUAAUCAUAUUACAUUUAACAUUGGUUAACUAGGGUUGUCAAGUUGGUUAUUUAUUCCGUAUUCCUUAUUUGUUACUUAUUCCUCAUUCC
rnacentral:lncRNA from 1 species